CCCUUAGAUGUUCUGGGCUGCACGCGCGCUACACUGGUGCGUUCAGCGAGUUUAGCACCUUAACAGAUAUGUUUGGGUAAUCUUCUGAAAACGCACCGUGAUGGGGAUCGAUUAUUGUAAUUAUUAAUCGUCAACGAGGAAUUCCUAGUAAGUGUGAAUCAUCAGUUCGCGCUGAUUACGUCCCUGCCCUUUGUACACACCGCCCGUCGCUGCUACCGAUUGAGUGGUCCGGUGAAUUAUUCGGACCGGUGGACUGUGGGGUAACUCGCGGUCUGCUGGGAAGUCUUGUGAACCUUAUCACUGAGAGGAAGCAGAAGUCGUAACA
rnacentral:rRNA from 1 species